rnacentral:misc_RNA from 1 species
AACAUCGCGCACCUGCGGGAACCUGCGGAGGGAUCAUCACCGAGUUUACAACUCCCAAACCCCUGUGAACAUACCUAUACGUUGCCUCGGCGGAUCAGCCCGCGCCCUGUAAAACGGGACGGCCCGCCCGAGGACCCUAAACUCUGUUUUUAGUGGAACUUCUGAGUAAAACAAACAAAUAAAUCAAAACUUUUAGCAAUGGAUCU